UACAGAGGUCUCAAGCGUUGUUCGGAUUCAUUGGGCGUAAAGGGUGCGUAGGCGGCGCGGUAAGUCGGGUGUGAAAUUUCGAGGCUUAACUUCGAAACUGCAUUCGAUACUGCCGUGCUUGAGGACUGGAGAGGGGACUGGAAUUUACGGUGUAGCGGUGAAAUGCGUAGAUAUCGUAAGGAAGACCAGUGGCGAAGGCGGGUCUCUGGACAGUUCCUGACGCUGAGGCACGAAGGCCCAGGGGAGCGAAACGGG
rnacentral:rRNA from 1 species